rnacentral:rRNA from 1 species
AGAGUUUGAUCCUGGCUCAGGAUGAACGCUGGCGGCGUGCCUAACACAUGCAAGUCGAACGAAGCACCUUUUAAGAUUCUUCGGAUGAUUGAUCGGUGACUGAGUGGCGGACGGGUGAGUAACGCGUGGGUAACCUGCCCUGUACAGGGGGAUAACAGUUGGAAACGGCUGCUAAUACCGCAUAAGCGCACGAGAGGACAUCCUCUUGUGUGAAAAACUCCGGUGGUACAGGAUGGGCCCGCGUCUGAUUAGCUGGUUGGCAGGGUAACGGCCUACCAAGGCGACGAUCAGUAGCCGGUCUGAGAGGAUGAACGGCCACAUUGGAACUGAGACACGGUCCAAACUCCUACGGGAGGCAGCAGUGGGGAAUAUUGCACAAUGGGGGAAACCCUGAUGCAGCAACGCCGCGUGAGUGAAGAAGUAUUUCGGUAUGUAAAGCUCUAUCAGCAGGGAAGAUAAUGACGGUACCUGACUAAGAAGCUCCGGCUAAAUACGUGCCAGCAGCCGCGGU